rnacentral:rRNA from 1 species
GACGAACGCUGGCGGCGUGCUUAACACAUGCAAGUCGAGCGAUGAAGUUUCCUUCGGGAAACGGAUUAGCGGCGGACGGGUGAGUAACACGUGGGUAACCUGCCUCAUAGAGUGGAAUAGCCUUUCGAAAGGAAGAUUAAUACCGCAUACUGUUGAAAGAUGGCAUCAUCCUUCAACCAAAGGAGUAAUCCGCUAUGAGAUGGACCCGCGGCGCAUUAGCUAGUUGGUGGGGUAACGGCCUACCAAGGCGACGAUGCGUAGCCGACCUGAGAGGGUGAUCGGCCACAUUGGGACUGAGACACGGCCCAGACUCCUACGGGAGGCAGCAGUGGGGAAUAUUGCACAAUGGGGGAAACCCUGAUGCAGCAACGCCGCGUGAGUGAUGAAGGUUUUCGGAUCGUAAAGCUCUGUCUUUGGGGAAGAUAAUGACGGUACCCAAGGAGGAAGCCACGGCUAACUACGUGCCAGCCGCCGCCGUAAUAC